UAGUCCUGACCAUGUAAAGAUACCUUGUGAGUGGAAUCAGUUGGCUUAAGCGCAGGCGUAGGAGCUGUUGUGCUCCUGGCAAAUGGUGAACUGGUUGGCUUAAGCGCAGAUGUUGGUAUUGUUGUGCUCCCAGUUCAAAACUCAUUGAAGCUCACGUUCAAGCUUGUCACUAUACUCAGUCAAGCUUGAGGAGGGGAAUAUCAGUGAGCUACCAAAAGAUCCAUGAAGCUUACUGUAUCCAGUGUCCCAUUUCCUCAUAGAAGACCAGCAAGAGGUUGGCGAAUUAAAAGAGGACUUAAGUGAUCAGUCUGAAGAAGCUGUCACUCCUCACUGUUCUUACCAGCCAGAUGCAAGGAUUAUUCAAUCAGGGACAUUCUUGGCUAAGCAAUCACAUGAUGGUGGCAAAUUAUGGAGUUGCAAAGUCCCCCUACAUGUUGAAACUUCAAGAGAAUAAUGCAAAGGCUGGUUGAGAGAAGGAAUGGCGUGGAGGAUUCAAGUGCUUAGUAAUCCUCACCAACAUUCAACAAACUGAUGCAAGGGAAGUAACC